CUGCAGAUGAUUCUAACAGAUGCCGAUCCAGGUCAAGGAGCUGUGUGUCUUCUCAAAAACCAGAGCUUUCAGAUCCUAGCAACCAUGAGAGCAUUUUGAACCAAGCUCUUGAACAUUUAACUGUAUCAGCCAAGAAGAAGAAAUUGCCAGGACGAAAUAUAUACAAUGGUAUUCAGUUAGACCAUCUGUAUUAGCAUCAACGAGUAAAAAAAGAACAUCCAAUGAUGACACGUCGGGACAAAAUUAUCAAAACUCCUGUAUUAGUCCUACGCACUCGCGCAGUGUUGAAGUCAGCCGAAAAAAUUAAUCCGUCGGCUUCUGAGAAACGGAGCCAAGCAGCUAAACAAGAGGAGGCAGUUAGCAGGAAACGCAAAUCCCUCCAACCUUUGGAGGCUCUGUGCCUUCCGCUUUUUAGCAAUCCAGCAUCUUCAGAAGUAGACACCGCAGAUGUCGAAAUGCAGGAUGGGAUCGUUCAGAUGAAAAUUCCUAAACGUCCCCAAGACGAUUGUGUGCAAUUAUCGUGCCCGCCUCCCCAGAAAAGCACUGUCACUUUCUCUGAUGUAAAGUAUGAACCAAAGAGGCCUGAUGUGUGCACAGACUCGAAAGGCCCAUACAAUUUCAGCGCAAAACCUGAUGCAGGAAGUAUAUUCCCAGUCACUCGUAAACGCCUCGUUCUGACAGAACCGAAAACUCCACAAUUGAGAACUGCUCGUAGAAGUGUGGCCAGGACAAAUAAUAGAGUUGCAGUCAUCAACUCAGCUGGUGGAAGUCAGACUUUCAAAUUUCAAACGGUGCUUCAUACGGGUGUGCCAGCCAGUACCAAAUCUGCCCAACGGAAGUUAAACCUUUCAGCUUUGAGGAAAGAGAUAAGCAGAUGCUGUUGAAAAAAGAACAAAAAAUAAAGCAGAUGUUGGAGGAAGAAAGAAAAAAAGCUGAGUUUCAUGCCAAUCCAUUGCCGUCAUAUCUCAAUGUCAAAAAAGAGAUACCUAUCCCCAGCACUCGCAGCCAUACUCUCAGCAAGCGCCGCACUCUCUACAAAUUCGAACUGGUAGGCACUAAAGUUGUAAGCGGUUCAAAGAUUUUAAUGAAACCAUUACUUUUUUCACUCACUUUUUUAUAUCAGUCAUCGCAUAAUGCUUCAAUGUGUCGCAAAAUUAUCUUAGCUAGUGGCUUUAACAAAGUUUGUGAUAUCCUUAUAAUUCUGUUCACUUGUUUUACAACAAAAUUACUCUAGAACUCAAUGACCUAUUUCUCCGAAAGCCGACUGAAAAAAAAGGAGCCGCUCUGUUCACCUAUCCUCUCCAUGUUAUCCAUUCUAUUGCAUGCUAAUUGCAUAAAUUUUCCUGUAAUGCCUAGAAAUACAGUGAUGAUUUUCAUGAAAUACUUCAUUUCAUUUAUUCAGUUUGGCAACAGAGGAAUAGUACUUGAGGCACUCAGUGAAUGCUAGGCUAGUGGGGACUUUAAAGUUUCCAAUUUCAUUUUCUUUGUUUUUAUUGCAUUGUUUCGCCUCUCCUCCCAGUGAAUCACUCUCUUCUAUCUUUUAAGUUUAUUGUUACUAUUUUCUUACAGAACGAAAAAGAAAACCCUGCACCUCUGCCUUUCAAAGCCCAACCCCCGACGGUGCUCCAGAGAGACCCAUUCGUACCCAAGAAGGCUGAGCGACCCUUACUUGAAAUCCCUGACUUUGAACUGAAAACUGAAAGAAGAGCCCGAGAAAGAGAGCAAUUGAAAUAACGAUGAAAGAACGGGAAGCACAAAUGGAGAUGGCCCUCAGAGAG
rnacentral:lncRNA from 1 species